rnacentral:rRNA from 1 species
GAUGAACGCUGGCGGCGUGCCUAAUACAUGCAAGUCGAGCGAACAGACGAGGAGCUUGCUCCUCUGACGUUAGCGGCGGACGGGUGAGUAACACGUGGAUAACCUACCUAUAAGACUGGGAUAACUUCGGGAAACCGGAGCUAAUACCGGAUAAUAUAUUGAACCGCAUGGUUCAAUAGUGAAAGACGGUUCUGCUGUCACUUAUAGAUGGAUCCGCGCCGUAUUAGCUAGUUGGUAAGGUAACGGCUUACCAAGGCAACGAUGCGUAGCCGACCUGAGAGGGUGAUCGGCCACACUGGAACUGAGACACGGUCCAGACUCCUACGGGAGGCAGCAGUAGGGAAUCUUCCGCAAUGGGCGAAAGCCUGACGGAGCAACGCCGCGUGAGUGAUGAAGGUCUUCGGAUCGUAAAACUCUGUUAUUAGGGAAGAACAAAUGUGUAAGUAACUAUGCACGUCUUGACGGUACCUAAUCAGAAAGCCACGGCUAACUACGUG